GAGAGAUUUACCUAACCCUUUUCCUGAUGGCUAUGACACUAUAUUUACAUUUACUCAGUUGACACGCGCUUUUAUCCAAAGCAGGUAACAGUUAAACAGGGAUUUGAAUUCACACACACGCACAAGGGAUUAAACCCUUCAAGCCUGUGUGUGUGUGUGGUGUGUAUGUGUGUGUGUGUGUGUGGUGAGUGUGUGUGUGUGUGUGUGAGUGUGUGUGUGUGUGUGUGUGUGUGUGUAUAGGAGUGUGUGUGUGUGUGUGUGUGUGUGUGUAUAGGAGUGUGUGUGUGUGUGUGUGUGUGUGUAUGUAUAGGAGUGUGUGUGUUCUCAGACUCCAGCUGUAGUGACGCUGGGAUGUUCUGACCCACUCACCUGGAUGUUGUGGUAGAGAAGAGAAGAUGCUGUGAAGUCCAGGGCCUGCCCGACAGCGCGGUGCUCGCGCGCUCCUCGUCUGCUGAGUAAAUCCGCACACUACACUCCCCGCCGCGCUUCCGGUCCUCUGAAUCCACACACACGUUCAUGGUUCAUGAUUUGCGUUUGUGUGCAGUCGGUUCAUCUGUAGUUCCUCAGCAGUGUGUGCACUGGACUGUUCCACUGACGGGCUUUAUAGCGUCGCUGUGUGUUAC
ensembl:lncRNA